rnacentral:lncRNA from 1 species
GAGCCAGGAGACCGCGCGGGACGGCGGAUGAGGCGCGGCGGCUGCGGCCCAGGGCACCUCCCCUCUGGCUUCCCGAACCCGGCCAGGUCCGACCCGAGGGGGAGGAUGGAAACACCUGCCGCGCUCUGAGCCCCCCAGAAGAGAACACCCUUCCCGCCAUAUCACCCCACGGUCCUGCGGAGGCCACCGCCUGGUCCCCCCAAGUCUCCAUCGCGCAGCGUGGGGCCGAGAGGAAUAGUGAGCGAUGGCGGAAAACCUGAAAAGACUGGUCUCAAACGAAACUUUACGAACGUUGCAGGAAAAGCUAGACUUCUGGCUGAAGGAGUACAACGAGGACGUAAUGAUGGUGUGGAAACAAUCAAGUCACGCCUUUUGCCUUGGCUGGAGGCUUCCUUUACUGCUGCUUCCCUGGGAAAAUCUGUUGACAGCAAGGUCCCCUCUCUGCAGGACACGUUUGAUAGGGAGAGACAUAAAGAUCCCAGUCCUCGGGAUCGGGAUAUGCAACAGUUAGACUCUAAUUUGAACUCAACCCGGAGUCAAUGCAACCAGGUU